UUUAUCAUAAUUUUUGGGUGUGUCAGAGUUUCCAGGAGCUUCAUGAGCUCCACGCAGUGCUUACACCCAAAAUAAGUUGGAGAAUUGAAUUAAAGUGCAGUGUAGAAGGGCUAGCCUUCAAAUGUCUAAGUUCAAAGAGAACUCAAGGUCCCAAGGCAAGGCUCAUAAGAGGGGGCCAGAACAUAGAUUCUAAGAGUAAGUGUAAGUGCAUAAAGGGGAGUUAGGGAAGGCCGUGGUAGGCUGGUGGUCAGGCCCAGCAAUUAGGAGUGUUGGCACACCCCUGAUCAACCUGUUAGCCAAAUUUUAGGAGUUAGGAUCCAUCAAGGAUCAGGUUCAGAACUGGGCAGCAACUUGGAUACUGCCAGGCCAUGAGCCUUAACUUAAACACAUAGAAGGGAGUAAGGGUAUGGGGGAUUCACAACAAACAACAUAUGCAGAGAGACGAACAUGCAUUGUCAACAUUGAACAUAAACAAAAAAGUAAACAAGAAUGUUGAAACUAUAAAGUACACACAUAGGGGUGAAGCUGAAAAGUUAAAUUAGAACAUACCCAUUUCGGGGAAACAAACAAGUAGAACAAUAACCUUAAAAAAAAUCAAGUUGUAGGAAAAUAUUCCAAAGGAUCUAAGAAGAGAGCAGAAUAUUGCAAGAGUAUUCAAAUUGCAUGUGAAUAAUGUGUGCUCGAGUAUUGAACUCUAAGAUGUACUGAAUUGUAAGUGUGUGAGUAAUGUAAGCAGAAGUACUGAACUGAAUAUUCAAGGUGGUCCGAGUGCAGAAGGGUCUUUCCCCUUUUAUAGUGCAUAAAACAAGUAAGAGAAGGUAAGAAAAUAGUUUGCAAUCAGUCACAUAGAAUCCCUCUUCAGCAGGGAAACAAACAAGUAGAACAGUAGCCUAAAAAAAAAUCAAGUUGCAGGCAAACAAUCCAAAGAAUCUCAGAAGAGAGCAGAAUGUUGUAAGAGUAUUCAAAUUGCAAGUGAAUAAUGUGUGCUCGAGUAUUGAACUCUAAGAAGUGCUGAAUUGUAAGUAUGUGAGUAAUGUAAGCUGAAGGUGUUGAACUGAAGAUUCAAGGUUGUCUGAUUGUUGAAGGUGUCGUGCCCCUUUUAUAGUGUAGAAAACAAGUAAGAAAUUAGUUUGCAAUCAAUCACAUAGAAUCCCCCUUCAGUUAAGUGAUUCUGAUUUCAAACGGGUUAGAAGGAAAAUAAGGAAAGAAAUUUGAUUAAAAUCUUUUCCAAAGUAACACAAAAAGGUUAAAUAUAUAGGAGUUUAUUUAAGGAAAAAUCCAGGGGUACACGGUUUGUGACAAAUAAGGAAAUACCAAUCAAACAGUCAGUAGAACCCAAAAUUGCUGGCUUUAUUUGAAUGCACCAAGUCAGGAAAAGAGAGGAAAGGGUUUUACUUAAGGAAAAUCAAUAACAAUCAAUCAUAUCUUACUAAAAGAAUACGAAAUCAAUUAAUAAUUGGAAAGACCUUUCUUGAAAGAAGAACUUCUCAUAUAUAAAGCAUGCAAAUAUCAACAAGAGGGAGUUGUCAUACUGGUUAGAAAAAAUUAUCAUAGAAACAUUCAUAAAAAGGUUUAGGUCCAAUCCAUAUACUCAGAAUGAGUCUGAGAGCUUGGGGUUUCAAAGUAGAACCCUAAUCAAACUCGCCAAAGAAACCCCCCAAAUCCUAGGGUUUCAAAUCGAAUCAGAUAUAGAGAUGAGUAGGCAAGCCAUUGAGACAGACUCAAAAGUCUGUUUAGCCUCAUGAGAAACAAAAUAGAUAUGAUAGCAAGUUUAAAACAACAAAGAAAGAAAGCUGAUUUAAGAGCAUAAAUGAGCGUGUUUUAGAAAAGUCGGAACUUAAGCAAGUUCAGAAGAAAAGUGGUGGUGUAACUUAAGCAGCAGUAGAUGAAACAUUCUUAGCAAAAUUCGAACAAAGUCAAGUAAAUCAAAAAAAAAAAAAAACCCAGCAAGAAACAUAUACGAUAGAAAUUAUGUAGGAAAAGAUAGCAGAGAUAAUCAUACGAGACUGGUCUAGAGGCACCGUAAAAUACAAAGGCAUGGAAGAAUCAUGUAUAAUAGAUAGAAAAAAUAGAAGAGCAAACACAUGUCAGGUAGAGCAGAAAACAUACGAGCAUAAUAUAGAUAAACACAUAUAAAGAAAUAACAUCAGAAUGUUGUUUUUAAAAACCUUCAGAAACCCUUAAUCGAAAACAAACGAUUUUGAAAAGAAAAUCUGGGGAAAACACUUUAAAAGUUGAGUAAAUCACAAGACACAUCAUAGAUCUAAGAAAACAACAGAGAAAAACCUCGAAUAGCUUAAGCUUUCGGAGAAACCCUAGAAAUGAGAAAGGCUUGGAAGAAAGCUCGAUGUUGAGUCGGAGAGGUAGAAUCAGGCCCUCUAAUGCUUGAAUAUGCCGGAGCACAGGCUUGAGAGGCCAUAAAACCAUAGAUUUAGGACGGACUGGAGGUGAACCAUCGAGGUCAGGCCUCAAAGCUUUGAAAAAACAUGGUCUACUAGUGGAGAGGGGUGAGUACAGACCAUACAUGGCCUGAGAAGCC
rnacentral:lncRNA from 1 species